AUCACUCAUAUUUGUUUAACAAGAUUGCUCAGAUAAAGUGAUAUUCGUAUAUCCAACCCCAAUAUAUCAUUCAUAUUCUUAACCAACUAACAGAGUAACGGUAAUAACUACCGACCAGGACCAUAGUUUAUGGGAGAAAACAAGGUUAAUUCAUUAAACAAAACAAGUACAAUCUACAAAAACAUUGAUAAAUAGAUUCAAAAAUAUCAUANNN
rnacentral:lncRNA from 1 species